GGGGCGUGAGUGUUACUCUGGACGAUUUGACGUCACGGUACCUAUGUGCGUCACAGUGUUUGACGUUCUCCUCGGACAGCCCGAACAUUUAUUCUCAGUACUCUGCAUACUGCGGACAACCAAAUCCACAGUUUUCUUACGGGUGUCAGAGUCAGGGCUGUGCUGGGUCAUGUAACUCCCUGAUUUUGAUUAUUCAUGGUA